AAACAUGUCUUUCAGAGUUAUUUAAAGUCAAGCCUGCUCACUGUUUUAGUAUAAAGAGCUGCAGUAUUUUGACUGUGCAAAGGUAGCAUAAUAGGUUGUCCCUUAAUUGGGGGCCGGAAUGAAAGGUUUGUCGUUAAAGGACUUUUUUAUCUUUUCUUAUAAAAUUACUUUUUAGUUAAAAUGCUAAAGAAAACUUAAAAGACGAUAAGACCCUAUAAAAUUUUAUUCUUUUUUUUAAAAAGAAUAGGUGAAAAGCUUAAAGAUAGGCUGGGGAGGUUCCUAUAAAUUUUUCUAAACUGUAGGAGGAGUAAACAAAUAUUUUUGAAAAAUAAGGAUCUUAAAAAAUUCAUUAAACUAAAUUACUUUAGGGAUAACAGCGUUAUUUUUUUUAGAGUUCUUAUCGAAAAAAAAGUUUGCGACCUCGAUGUUGAAUUAAGAAACCUAGUUUGGGGCAGGAGC
rnacentral:rRNA from 1 species